UGCCUUUGUGUUGCCCAUACAUUUCCUAUUAGAUGAAUGGGGUGUCAAAUAAGGCACACAAUAAAUCUUGCAAUAGCCAAAUUUAUGAGCGGACACUCUAGUUGUUCUUUUCAAUUGUGAUAAAUCAAGGAAAAAA